rnacentral:lncRNA from 1 species
UGCAUUUUACAAGAAUGAACAGAAUGAACAUAACUGAACAUAACCUGCAUUUUACAAGAAUAUUUACAACUGAAUGAAACAGAACUGAACAUAACCUGCAUUUUACAAAACAUAACCUGAUAACCAAGAAUGCAAAACAAAACCUGAUAACCAAAAUAAAACAAAACAUAACCUGAUAACCAAAACAAAACAAGAUAUUUUUAAAACAAGAUAUAAUCAUGAAUUCACCACUAACACUAAUUCACCAAAACAAAGUCAUAACCAUAUGAUAAAAUAUAACCUGAUAAAACAUAACCUGAUAACAAUACAAAGUCAUAACCAUAUGAUAAAACAUAACCUGAUUACAAUACAAAGUGUUAUAGAACAUAACCUCAUAAGUCAUAACCAUAUGAUAAAACAUAACCUGAUAAACUGAACAUAACAGAACAUAACAUCAUUUUAUCAGCUGAACAUAACAGAACUAAAGUAACAACUACUCACUAGUAAGUAAUCCAAUCAACCAUAUUACAUAUCCAACUAAUCCAAGAUUAAAACAAACAACGCACAACGGCACAAGGCACAAUUCUCUCAACUAUCAAGUCCCCAUUCUCGAACAAAUCAACCAUAUUACAUAUCCAAGAUUGAUGCAUCUAAAUCGCCUGCUGAAAAUUCUGCAAUUUUUAAAAGACAAAUGUGAGCAAAUCAUAAUU